AGAAGGCAUACAUGGUGAGGUUUCUUGGGAUCUUGAAAUCCAGGAGGCUGCUCCAUGUAGACUACCUCAUUCAGUGUACCAUGAGGUACUUCAUAUGUAGCAAGACAUGCAUACCGAGGAUUGACCUUAACAAUACCAGACUUAGACCUAGUCUUCAUAGGGUACUUCAAUUUGUUGAGGGCUAUCUUGAGCAGUGAUGGAUACUCGUUCCACAGUAGUUUCAGCUGGUGAUAUAGAAACUGCUUGUUCUGUGUAUUCAGGUAUCCCAUUCUGUUCAGGUGUAUAUGGACAAGAUAUAUGCUGUUGAAUGCCACAAUUCUGUAAGAACUAUCAGCACAUCAUUUAGAGGCAAGGCAGCAAUUGCAGCAUUUAAUAUUGCAUUACCAAUAUAUUUGACAAUGCUGCUAGAGCUGUUGGUAUAUCCUUAGCUUGGUAGGAGUUAUCAAACCGAUACCAACAAUGUAAAGCAUCAUGACCAGGCCUUUUACAGAUUUGACACUCAAGUCGCUUUUGUUCUGCUUGUUUCUCUAAUUGUAUCUUUGAAUUUGGUGUGGGAUAUGACCUGAUAUCAGAAUACCUUUGUGCUGAUACAUUGUAUGGUCUAAACCCUUGAGCAGAACCUAAGCCAGA